rnacentral:rRNA from 1 species
GAUGAACGCUGGCGGCGUGCCUAAUACAUGCAAGUCGAGCGAACAGACGCGGAUCUUGCUGCUCUGACGUUAGCGGCGGACGGGAGAGUAACACGUGUAUACCCUACCUAUAAGACUGGGAUAACUUCGGGACACCGGAGCUUAUCCCGGAUAAUAUAUUGAACCGCAUGGUUCAAUAGUGAGAUACGGCUUUUCUGUCACUUCUAGAGGGUUCCGCGCCGCAUUAGCUAGUUGGUACGGUCACGGCUUACCAAGGCAACGAUGCGUAGCCGACCGGAGAGGGUGAUCGGCCACACUGGAACUGAGACACGGUCCAGAGUCCUACGGGAGGCAGCAGUAGGGAAUCGUACGCAAUGGGCGAGAGCAUGACGGAGCAACGGCGCGUGAGUGAUGAAGGUCUUCGGAUCGUAAAAAUCGGCUACUAGGGAAGAACAAAUGUGUAAGGAACUAUGGACUUCUUGACGGUACCUGAUCAGAAAGCCACGGCUAACUACGUG